GAAGGAUGCAUCGGCUGUAUCCUUCACGGCCCAACGUAUCCCAAGAUCCUUCACGGCCCAACGUAUCCCUCCCAAGAUUCAUUGCGCACUCAAUCAAUGGAGUUGGCGGAGAAUGGCGAUUUAAGUUUUGCAUUUAAAUGGAGCCAGCAGCAUACUGCUCGAUUUAUUAUAUUGAGGGGGGAGAACGAUGAGCUGUUCACUGGGGUGAAAUACUCAGCAAGUGUGGCUUGGGGGUAUUGGGACAGAGGCAUUCCACCAACCCCCCCUGUCCUAAUUGCCUCCAUCCCUGAGAACACACCAGGGCCAAGUACAGCAGUGGUGGAUCAGGAGGUGGAGGACAAGGAUCAGGAGGAGGAAAGACAGCGAGGGCCAAGGUCCAGAAAGAGGGACAGGGAGGAAGACAUGUUCCAGAGUCGCUCACUAUCUUCCGAAAAGGACUCAAGACUCACCUGUUCAGAGUCCACCUCGACUCUGCAUAUAGCCACCCUCCCCCUUCUGGCCACCAUUGUACACUGUGUUGUAUUGUAUUGUAUUGUAUUAUAGUACUUAACUGUGUAACAACUGCAGUAGCUGCUAUCAUGGCUGUAACACGGGGAAUUGAUUAGCCUAGCGAUUGUGGUACUUGCACUUGGUUCUAUGAACAUCC
ensembl:lncRNA